rnacentral:rRNA from 1 species
UACGGAGGGAGCUAGCGUUGUUCGGAAUUACUGGGCGUAAAGCGCACGUAGGCGGCUUUGUAAGUUAGAGGUGAAAGCCCGGGGCUCAACCCCGGAAUUGCCUUUAAGACUGCAUCGCUUGAAUCCGGGAGAGGUGAGUGGAAUUCCGAGUGUAGAGGUGAAAUUCGUAGAUAUUCGGAAGAACACCAGUGGCGAAGGCGGCUCACUGGACCGGUAUUGACGCUGAGGUGCGAAGGCGUGGGGAGCAAACAGG